GACGAAGGCUGCAAGCGUUAUCCGGAUUCAUUGGGUUUAAAGGGUGCGUAGGCGGACUUGUAAGUCAUUGGUGAAAUCUCUUUGCUUAACAAAGAAACUGCCAUUGAUACUGCUAGCCUAGAGUAUAGAUGACGUUGGCGGAAUAUGACAUGUAGUGGUGAAAUACUUAGAUAUGUCAUAGAACACCGAUUGCGAAGGCAGCUAACGAAACUAUAACUGACGCUGAGGCACGAAAGUGCGGGGAUCAAACAGG
rnacentral:rRNA from 1 species